UUCAAUUUUGGUCCACCAUAGUUUUCAUAUUUCCCAAGUUUUUUUCGUUUCGUUCUAAAUUUUGUAAGUUAACGCAUCGCAACGUGCGUGUGGGGUUCAACAUUUUUUCGUAUAUUUUUUUUCCCUUUGACUGACCCGUCGCGUCACAUCUAUUUUUCUGUGUUUGACAAGUUCAUCCAACACGCGGUUCCUGGAUGGACUUAAUUAUUUUUUUCUAUGUUUUACGUUUCAGUUUAAUUUCUCGGCAACGAGCAUGCAUGAUUCAAAGAUUUUAUGUCUACUUUUCGCUCGAUAUUAUUUUUUUCCCGUUUUUAUUUAUUUUGCUUUUACGAGCUUUUCCGGUGUUGGUGGUCGCUGACAAUGAUAUAAUUUUAUAAUAACCGCUGCAACGCAUAAGAGGAGUAGGAGAGAAUGCCACAUGGUAUUUUCUAAGAUAAACCUAAAGAAAGAAUGCCAUGUGGCAUUAACUUGAUUCUUUUAUUAAUAUUAGAUGAUAAUUAAAUUAUACAUUAACUAUUUAUAUUAUUAAUUAUUAAUUUAUAGUUUUAGUUGAAGAUAAGGUACAAAUAGGGCUGAGCAGUAUACGGUUCAGAACCGUCAGAACUGGGGAACCGAACCGGAACCGCUAGAUCCAAACCGUAUUUUUGUAUAUAGGGUCCGGUUCCGGUUCUUGAAUUUGGGUAAAAACGGCUCCCGGUUCGGUUCUGGUUAAAACCACAGUUCUGGUUAAAGAACCGCUAGAACCAGUUGAGAUUAUAAAUAUUUAAAAUCCUAUUUUAUUAAUGGGCUUUUCAACAUCAUACGACCAUCCCAAUUCUUAUUCCCUCCUCUUAUAUCCAUUCCACGAUCUCAUCUUUCAUUUUCUAAUUCUUCUCCAUCUCUCAACUCUAACCCUAAUUGCUAUCAUACAAGUUUAUCUCCAUCAACACCCUGCAAAUACAGCACAUGGCUACUUUUGAAAAGAAGCUAAUUCAAGAUCGAAUGAAGUUUGAAGAUGUUUGUUUUAAUUGUUAACACGAUAGUUGUAAUAGUUUUAUUUAGAGUUUGUUUUAUGGCUUGAAAUAUUUUACUGUUGCUUCGCUACUUUUAUUUUGGUUGGUUUGAACUUUGAAUGUUGCAACUCUUAGUUAAUGUUUUAAA